UGCAAUAGCAAAGUAUGCCAGUAUCGGGUAAUGGCCAAUAUAUGAUGCAUAGCUAUCACGCUGGAUGUUCACCGCCCACUCAAAUCUAUUUAAAUCGGCGUGACCAGUCCCAACAUACUUAGCUUGGAGAUGCUCAAGCUGGGAAUUAAUGUUAAACCUAUCACUGGCCUGCAUGUUUGCAGAUGGAGAUGACAGCUGAGAGGGUAACCGAAAUAGCAAAAGGAACAACCCAAGAGAAAAGCUUCUCUGAGAGUAAUUACACGAUUACAGUUCUAGUGUUCUAC
rnacentral:misc_RNA from 1 species